GACGAACGCUGGCGGCGUGCUUAACACAUGCAAGUCGAACGGAAAGGCCCUGCUUUUGUGGGGUGCUCGAGUGGCGAACGGGUGAGUAACACGUGAGUAACCUGCCCUUGACUUUGGGAUAACUUCAGGAAACUGGGGCUAAUACCGGAUAGGAGCUCCUGCUGCAUGGUGGGGGUUGGAAAGUUUCGGCGGUUGGGGAUGGACUCGCGGCUUAUCAGCUUGUUGGUGGGGUAGUGGCUUACCAAGGCUUUGACGGGUAGCCGGCCUGAGAGGGUGACCGGCCACAUUGGGACUGAGAUACGGCCCAGACUCCUACGGGAGGCAGCAGUGGGGAAUAUUGCACAAUGGGCGGAAGCCUGAUGCAGCAACGCCGCGUGCGGGAUGACGGCCUUCGGGUGGUAAACCGCUUUCGCCUGUGACGAAGCGUGAGUGACGGUAAUGGGGAAAGAAGCACCGGCGAACUACGU
rnacentral:rRNA from 1 species